GAUCCUGACUCAGGAUGAACGCUAGCGACAGGCUUAACACAUGCAAGUCGAGGGGCAGCACAGGGUAGCAAUACUUGGGUGGCGACCGGCGCACGGGUGAGUAACGCGUAUGCAACUUACCUAUCAGAGGGGGAUAGCCCGGCGAAAGUCGGAUUGAUACCCCAUGAAACAGGGGUCCCGCAUGGGAAUAUUUGUUAAAAGAUUCAUCGCUGAUAGAUAGGCAUGCGUUCCAUUAGG
rnacentral:rRNA from 1 species